CACGUAGUUAGCCGGGGCUUCUUGGUCAGGUACCGUCAUUGCUUUCUUCCCUGCUGACAGAGCUUUACAUACCGAAAUACUUCUUCACUCACGCGGCGUCGCUGGAUCAGGGUUCCCCCCAUUGUCCAAUAUCCCCCACUGCUGCCUCCCGUAGGAGUUUGGGCCGUGUCUCAGUCCCAAUGUGGCCGUCCACCCUCUCAGGCCGGCUACUGAUCGUCGCCUUGGUGGGCCUUUACCCCGCCAACCAGCUAAUCAGACGCGGGUCCAUCUUGCACCACCGGAGUUUUUCACACUGUCCCAUGCAGGACCGUGCGCUUAUGCGGUAUUAGCACCUAUUUCUAAGUGUUAUCCCCCAGUGCAAGGCAGGUUACCCACGCGUUACUCACCCGUCCGCCACUAAGAUUGCACUUGAUUUGACCGAAAUCGCAUCUCCGUGUAAUCCCCGUUCGACUUGCAUGUGUUAAGCACGCCGCCAGCGUUCAUCCUGAGCCAGGAUCAAACUCU
rnacentral:rRNA from 1 species